rfam:Chelonia mydas contig215282, whole genome shotgun sequence.
CUAAAGGCUCUUUUCAGAGCCACCCACAAAGUCAGAAAAGGGUUUG